rnacentral:rRNA from 1 species
GCAGUCGAACGAACACUUUACUUGAUUUCCUUCGGGGAUGAUUGUUCUGUGACUGAGUGACGGACGGGUGAGUAACGCGUGGAUAACCUGCCUCACACAGGGGGAUAACAGUUGGAAACGACUGCUAAUACCGCAUAAGCGCACAGCACCGCAUGGUGCAGUGUGAAAAACUCCGGUGGUGUGAGAUGGAUCCGCGUCUGAUUAGCUAGUUGGCGGGGUAACGGCCCACCAAGGCGACGAUCAGUAGCCGGCCUGAGAGGGCGACCGGCCACAUUGGGACUGAGACACGGCCCAGACUCCUACGGGAGGCAGCAGUGGGGAAUAUUGCGCAAUGGGGGAAACCCUGAUGCAGCGACGCCGCGUGAGCGAUGAAGUAUUUCGGUAUGUAAGGCUCUAUCAGCAGGGAAGAUAAUGACGGUACCUGACUAAGAAGCUCCGGCUAAAUACGUGCCAGCAGCCGCGGUAAUACGUAUGGAGCAAGCGUUAUCCGGAUUUACUGGGUGUAAAGGGAGCGUAGGCGGUCCUGCAAGUCUGAUGUGAAAGGCCGGGGCUCAACCCCGGGACUGCAUUGGAAACUGUAGGACUAGAGUGUCGGAGGGGUAGGUGGAAUUCCUAGUGUAGCGGUGAAAUGCGUAGAUAUUAGGAGGAACACCAGUGGCGAAGGCGGCUUACUGGACGACUACUGACGCUGAGGCUCGAAAGCGUGGGGAGCAAACAGGAUUAGAUACCCUGGUAGUCCACGCCGUANACGAUGAAUACUNGGUGUUGGCAGGUAAGACCUGUCGGUGCCGCAGCAAACGCAAUAAGUAUUCCACCUGGGGAGUACGUUCGC